CGGAGCUCCAGAGCAGUUCCUCAGGAGGUGAAUCUCCUCAUAUUCCUUCACCUGGUCGUAGCAUAUUUGCAAAAGUAAAUAUCGAGAAAGGAAGUUUUAUUUUACAGUACAAAGGACGGCUAAUCACAGGAAAAGAUGCUAACUCUUUUGGGGAACAAGAUUUCAAACACAAUAGAGAAAUUGUUUGCAUUGAUGCCACUGAUGAUGAUGGAUCCUUCAAGAAAC